UACGGGGGGGGGCAAGCGUUGUUCGGAAUUACUGGGCGUAAAGCGCGCGUAGGCGGCUUUUCAAGUCGAGUGUGAAAGCCCCGGGCUUAACCCGGGAAUGGCGCUCGAUACUGUUGAGCUAGAGUGUGGAAGGGGCUACUGGAAUUCCGUGUGUAGCGGUGAAAUGCUUAGAUAUCAGGAGGAACACCGGUGGCGAAAGCGGCUCACUGGACCAUCUCUGACGCUGAGGAGCGAAAGCGUGGGGAGCGAACAGG
rnacentral:rRNA from 1 species